GACGGGGGAUGCAAGCGUAAUCCGGAAUCACUGGGCGUAAAGCGUCUGUAGGUGGUGAUGCAAGUCACUGGUGAAAAACUCUGGCUCAACCGGAGGAAAGCCAGUAAAACUGCAUGACUAGAGUGUGGGAGAGGUAGAAGGAAUUCCCUGAGUAGCGGUGAAAUGCGUAGAUACAGGGAAGAACACCGGAGGCGAAAGCGUUCUACUGGAACACAACUGACACUGAGAGACGAAAGCUAGGGGAGCGAAUGGG
rnacentral:rRNA from 1 species